UACGUAGGGGGCAAGCGUUGUCCGGAUUCACUGGGUGUAAAGGGCGCGCAGGUGGGUUGACAAGUCAGAGGUGAAAUCCUACAGCUUAACUGUAGAACUGCCUUUGAGGCUGUUAAUCUUGAGUACGGAAGAGAGAGAUGGAAUUUCAGGUGUAGUGGUGAAAUACGUAGAUAUCUGGAAGAACACCAGUGGCGAAGGCGGUCUCUUGGUCCUAUACUGACACUAAGGCGCGAAAGCGUGGGGAGCAAACGGG
rnacentral:rRNA from 1 species